UACGGUGAAUACGUUCCCGGACCUUGUACACACCGCCCGUCAAGCCAUGGAAGCUGGGUGUACCUAAAGUCGGUAACCGCAAGGAGCCGCCUAGGGUAAAACUAGUAACUGGGGGCU
rnacentral:rRNA from 1 species